UACGGAAGGCAGCAGUGGGGAAUAUUGCACAAUGGGCGCAAGCCUGAUGCAGCCAUGCCGCGUGUAUGAAGAAGGCCUUCGGGUUGUAAAGUACUUUUCAGUCGUGAGGAAGGUGUUAAGGUUAAUAACCUUAGCAAUUGACGUUAGCGACAGAAGAAGCACCGGCUAACUCCGUGCCAGCAGCCGCGGUAAUACGGAGGGUGCGAGCGUUAAUCGGAAUUACUGGGCGUAAAGGGCACGCAGGCGGUUAAUUAAGUUGGAUGUGAAAUCCCCGGGCUUAACCUGGGAAUGGCAUUCAAGACUGGUUAGCUAGAGUCUUGUAGAGGGGGUAGGAAUUCCAUGUGUAGCGGUGAAAUGCGUAGAGAUGUGGAGGAUACCGGUGGCGAAGGCGGCCCCUGGACAAGACUGACGCUCAUGUGCGAAAGCGUGGGGAGCAAACAGGGAUUAGAGUACC
rnacentral:rRNA from 1 species